ensembl:lncRNA
GUCUGAGACCCUGGGGUUGAGGGGUGGCAGGGCCUGAGCCGAGAGCACAGCCCGUCCAACCGCCACUGGGGUUUCCUGACCCAGAGCAGAGAAAACUGUGGCCCUCGGCCUCGGCCCCUGGGCCCCCUCUCCUCCGAGCUUGCUCUGCCUGGCUCCCUCCGCACUAACAACCAUCUCCUUGCUAAGGGAACGGGCAGCCUGGGGUGGUAGGUACAAGUGGCUGGCACCAUCCCGCUGCCCCAGAGGGCCAGAGGCAGAAGGAGGGGCCGCAGCCAGGAGGAUCCCGAAAAUGUGCAGGGCAGCUGGUCUCUAAAACAUCCCCUUCAGCUGAAUAAAGUCCAUGUCCAGCCCAUGACUAGGGCCCGAGGUGAGCUGGACCCACCUGCUCUCCACUGCCACCUCCACCCUGGCACUCUGGGUCACCCUGCUCCCCACACUGACCUUCCUCCAGUUCCUCAGGGUUGGGAGGCUCGGCUCCCUAAUUUGGAAAGACUUUCCUCCAAAUUUCUGUGCUCUCUACACCUGAGCUGCCCGGGACGGUAGCCACCACCACCUGCGACCAUGCCCCUCCACAUCCUUUAGAAUUAAACGCUCAGCCCCUCAGGCGUACUGGGCACUAGCCACGUGUGGCUGGUGGCUCCCAGGCUGGACACGCAGGUGUGGGCCUGCCCACGGGGGCAUUGGGCUCCAGUGGACAGUGAUGCCUAGAGCCACACCUUCAGGGAGUGUCCCCGUACCCUGCCCUCCCACACUUGUCCUUGCAAAUUCUGAUCACCAUCCAGCGAUGAUCUCUGAUCGUGAUCAGCUCUGUCUCCCCAACAGCUCACCCUCCAGUGGGGUAGGAGCCCCAACCUGUUGUGAGCACCGCUGUGGCCCUGAGCCCCGAGCCCAGCAGCAGCCUGGCCAACAGUUUUUGGGACGAAUGAAUGAAUGAAUGAGAAAGAAUGUGAUGAAUGAAUGAAUGAGGAAGAAAGUGAUGAAUCGGUGAAUGAAUGAAUGAGAAAGACCUGAAUGUCUGAAUGAGGAAGAACGUGGUGAAUGGAUGAGGGAAUGAACGAAUGAGGAAGAAGUGAUGCGUGAAUGAAUGCGGAAGCAGGGUGCUCCGGGCAGCACUGAACUCCCCACCCAGUUCCUGACCGUGGGCUAUUCCCAUGGAUGGUGUUUCUGCACCCUAAAAGGGAGGAGCUAGCUCAAGGGCGGGGUUUGAGGGGUCCCAAAACAGGAGGAGGCAGGUGCCCUUGGGAGGGAUACUGCCCCGGAGCAGUCACUACAAAUGAGCCAAGCAAUUCGCUUCCAGGAGUCCGUGGGCUCAGUCCUCUGGGCCUCCUAUGGGGACAGUGAAUAUUUUUUUUUUCUUUCCUGAGGGAUUCUGCCAAGAGCGAGCAGCGAGUGGCCGGCCAGGACUCCCGUCAUCCCCUGGACAUGGCUUGGGAAGGCUGAGCUAGGCUCUGGGCACUGGCAGCCUCAGGGCACCUCCCAGCAUCCUGAGUCUGCACACUCAGCUCCACGCAGACACUCAGGGACCCAGGGCGGUGGGGAGCCUCCAUGUUCAUAUGCCGUCUGUUCACGGUGUCGAGAAAGACACUGGGCCAUUCACCGCCUCUGCCUGGAAGUGACAUGUGUCACUUCUGCUCACAUUUCACUGUCCCAUGGCCUCACCAACCUGCAAGGAACCAGGAAAAGCAGGAGAGCAGUGGACCUGUCUGUUGCAAACCUGGCCGCCCCACCUGCGUGAGCCUGGCUCACAGUCAUCGACUCAGGACCCGAUGCUCCGAGGUGGUGGGUAUGCGCGGGGCUGGUGUCUUCCGCUCAGGAGCUUCAAACGCGAAGCGUUUGAUCUAAGUCAUCAGGAUGGAGCUACAGCUGCCCCCUGGUCCCUGGGCUGAAGGGGACACACACGGAAAGGAACGCGAGCUGGGAGGCGCUGGCCGCCUGGCCCUGGAGUCCGAGGCCUGCUGGGGUGGAGCCCUGCCCACUCCGGGCAUCCGUGCCAAAGACAUGCCUGGAGCUUUCCAAAAGGGAAUUCGACCUAAAAAUGGAAACCAGCCUCCUUCUGCCCCACGCCCCCGCCUGCCUGCCCAGACUCCCAGGAGAGGGGCCGCCGGAAAAUCAGUCGGCGGGGGCUUGGACACCCACGCUGCGCUUGCGGUUCUCACAGCGGCCAGGAGAGAAUCGCUUUGAAUCGACGUGAGCUGCCUUGCGCCGGAAGUUACGCGUUCCCCAGGGAGGAUCGCGGACAAGGAUCGACUGUAGAGGCUUUGCUGACGAAUCCUUCGCUGAGGAGCUCCCUGCAGCCACGUCCCCACGUCAAAGGACCUGACUCAGGGAAGACGCACCAGCAGUUUCAGGAACCAUGGAAACCCCGAGGAGCCUGAAAGCCUUAAAUGACAGGUGCUCAGAAAGCACUUAGUGUCGUGCCUGCCCAGGCAAGCCCUCGGGGAAGACGGCCACUGAUGAGGACAAUGAUGAUGAUAAGGAAGAAAUUUGGUUCCACCACUUCAGACUCCAGCCUCUCACCAGUCUUUCUAACAAUCACAUAUUUUCCAGAUUCUCUACAGUGAGCACAUAUUCCCUCCAUAAUCUGAAAAAGAACAAGGAUUCCAGCACUCGUCCUCUCAUUCCUAAAGCCAAGGGAGAGAAACUCUGAUGCACCUAGAGGCUGGCCUGUCCUGGCCCUUGGGGUGGAACAGAGGAGCCUCUUUCUUCUCUGGCUCGGGCUGGCGGCUGCCGUGACAUCAUCCCUGCGGCGUGUAAUUCGAGAAGCAUGUUAGGAAGUGUUGGCUGAUUGACCAAGCGUGCUGGUGUCCUCUCCCAGGAGGCCAACAGGCCCAUUCUAACGGGCAGCUGGUUGUGUCUCUCACCGGCGAUUAGGGCUGGGAGCCGCAUCUUCACUCCAUGGGGCAGACCCGGGCGGGAAGAGUGUGGAAGGGAUCAAGUUUCAGAGGAGAACACCAGGCGAGCACUCAAGUUGUGGGUCUCCCAGCUGGAACGUCCCUGGACAUUUUCUGGGGAGACCCCACAUGUCUGGAUGACACUUGGCAAAAGCGUCCUUUGUUGUCUCGGAAGUGCUGGGACGCUGCGUGGGG